ACCCACACUGCCCUAAACCUAGCCGCACUCCCCUUCUCCUCCUUCCUUCUCUUCUUCUUCCUUCCUCACUCCCGCACCCCUUCCCUUUCCGCACAGCUGCACAGCUGCCCAGCCGCCGUUUCUCCUCUCCUCGCGAGCAGCAGCAAGCAUCCACGUUUCCUCCCUCGCCGUGAGUAGCCAGCAGCCACCCUUCGAACAGCCGCCAGCUGCUGUCCGUUUUAAGGCGUCUUUCCGGUAAGUUUUGGCCUUCGUGCAUGACCACCACGACCUUCCUCCACCUCUUCACCAUUCUUGCUAGUUUUAAACCUUGUUCCCAGUUUAUAAGAGGAAAGUAGACCCCUUAGUUGGGUGAUUUUUGUAACUUGUGGUCGUGCAGUGACGCUUACAGCAGGGGGAUCAUAGACCAGCGUAGCAGGUACUGGAGCUUCUUUUGCAUUGCAUUGAUUUGGGAAGAGUGACGAGAGCGAAGCAUACCCUGUGUCAUACCGCUACCUUUCGAUUUCGUAGUUUUUGUUAUUUUUUGUAAACCUUGGUUGUAUAUGUUUUGUUAUGAGGCCUUGCGUCCUCCCUCGCAUAUUUGUAUUUCCGCUGCGUAGUUUAUAACUCUGUAUGGUUUUGAGUAGUUAAGUCUUUUUAAAACGCAAACGUUGACACUGGAACCACGAUCCAUGUUUGGCAUGUUGAUUUGAGAAGCCGGCGACGAAUCAUUCUGCCGUGACAUAAUUUUGAUAGGCCGUUAGUGCCUUUACUUUA